GACGAACGCUGGCGGCGUGCUUAACACAUGCAAGUCGAACGCUGAAGCACCAGCUUGCUGGUGUGGAUGAGUGGCGAACGGGUGAGUAAUACGUGAGUAACCUGCCCUUGACUCUGGGAUAAGCCCGGGAAACUGGGUCUAAUACUGGAUGCUACAUGUCACCGCAUGGUGGUGUGUGGAAAGGGUUUACUGGUCUUGGAUGGGCUCACGGCCUAUCAGCUUGUUGGUGAGGUAAUGGCUCACCAAGGCGACGACGGGUAGCCGGCCUGAGAGGGUGACCGGCCACACUGGGACUGAGACACGGCCCAGACUCCUACGGGAGGCAGCAGUGGGGAAUAUUGCACAAUGGGCGAAAGCCUGAUGCAGCGACGCCGCGUGAGGGAUGACGGCCUUCGGGUUGUAAACCUCUUUCAGCAGGGAAGAAGCCACAAGUGACGGUACCUGCAGAAGAAGCGCCGGCUAACUACGUGCCAGCAGCCGCGGUAAUACGUAGGGCGCAAGCGUUGUCCGGAAUUAUUGGGCGUAAAGAGCUCGUAGGCGGUUUGUCGCGUCUGCUGUGAAAGCCCGGGGCUUAACCCCGGGUGUGCAGUGGGUACGGGCAGACUAGAGUGCAGUAGGGGAGACUGGAAUUCCUGGUGUAGCGGCGGAAUGCGCAGAUAUCAGGAGGAACACCGAUGGCGAAGGCAGGUCUCUGGGCUGUUACUGACGCUGAGGAGCGAAAGCAUGGGGAGCGAACAGG
rnacentral:rRNA from 1 species